UUGGCCCUUUAAGAAGCUUGGGCCAAACACAAGCAGGAAAACAUUUUUGCCUUUUCAGCACGUGCCAAUGUCUAGAUCAAGGCCAUCCAAAUGAGUGACUC